UCUCCGUUUCGGGGUGGCCAUCACACACACCUCCAACAUGCCUCUUACGUUCUCUUCCUCAGUUGCCUCCACCCCCGGUGCCACAAAGGAUUCGCUCCAGCCAGCGGCAGGGCGUGACUUCUCCAGGAUACGUUGGAGCCCAAGAGCAUAAUUUCAGCCCUAUCUUGCAAAGAAGACAAAGUCUGGGGUCUUCAAGCUCUAUGGUAACUCUUCGUUGGCUCUUCUGCUCUACCCCUGGAGAAAGGUCCCUCUUCUCUUGGUCAUCUUCAAGACCUGGGUCUUACCCUUAGCCCGCCACUCUUGGCACCGACAAACUCAACAGAUGUCUCUUCUUCUGCAGGAGAGCACGCUAGAUCCAGGCUACAAUACGAUGGACAAACUUGGUGGUGGAUUCAGCAGCAGGUAAGGGAGUCCGAGGGGGCCUCGGGACCAGCUCCCUUAGCUGCUGCCUAGAGGUGAAAUAAAGUUU
rnacentral:lncRNA from 1 species